rnacentral:rRNA from 1 species
UACGUAGGGUGCAAGCGUUGUCCGGAAUUAUUGGGCGGAAAGAGCUCGUAGGCGGUCUGUCGCGUCUGCUGUGAAAACUCAGGGCUUAACCCUGAGCUUGCAGUGGGUACGGGCAGACUAGAGUGCGGUAGGGGAGACUGGAAUUCCUGGUGUAGCGGUGAAAUGCGCAGAUAUCAGGAGGAACACCGGUGGCGAAGGCGGGUCUCUGGGCCGUAACUGACGCUGAGGAGCGAAAGCAUGGGGAGCGAACAGG